rnacentral:rRNA from 1 species
GAGUUUGAUCAUGGCUCAGAUUGAACGCUGGCGGCAUGCCUUACACAUGCAAGUCGAACGGCAGCACGGACUUCGGCCUGGUGGCGAGUGGCGAACGGGUGAGUAAUACAUCGGAACGUACCCUGUUGUGGGGGAUAACUAGUCGAAAGAUUAGCUAAUACCGCAUACGACCUGAGGGUGAAAGUGGGGGACCGUAAGGCCUCACGCAGCAGGAGCGGCCGAUGUCUGAUUAGCUAGUUGGUGGGGUAAAGGCCCACCAAGGCGACGAUCAGUAGCUGGUCUGAGAGGACGAUCAGCCACACUGGGACUGACACACGGCCCAGACUCCUACGGGAGGCAGCAGUGGGGAAUUUUGGACAAUGGGGGCAACCCUGAUCCAGCAUUGCCGCGUGUGU